GGUUCAGUGGCACAGUGAUAAAGCGCUCGUCGCGGAGCCAGAGGGUCCUGGGUUCGAUCCUCAACGGGGUCG
rnacentral:tRNA from 1 species